GAUGAACGCUGGCGGCGUGCCUAAUACAUGCAAGUCGAGCGAACGGACGAGAAGCUUGCUUCUCUGAUGUUAGCGGCGGACGGGUGAGUAACACGUGGAUAACCUACCUAUAAGACUGGGAUAACUUCGGGAAACCGGAGCUAAUACCGGAUAAUAUUUUGAACCGCAUGGUUCAAAAGUGAAAGACGGUCUUGCUGUCACUUAUAGAUGGAUCCGCGCUGCAUUAGCUAGUUGGUAAGGUAACGGCUUACCAAGGCAACGAUGCAUAGCCGACCUGAGAGGGUGAUCGGCCACACGGGAACUGAGACACGGUCCAGACUGCUACGGGAGGCAGCAGUAGGGAAUCGUCCGCAAUGGGCGAAAGCCUGACGGAGCAACGCCGCGUGAGUGAUGAAGGUCUUCGGAUCGUAAAACUCUGUUAUUAGGGAAGAACAUAUGUGUAAGUAACUGUGCACAUCUUGACGGUACCUAAGCAGAAAGCCACGGCUAACUACGU
rnacentral:rRNA from 1 species